AAAUUAAGGACAAGUACAACCAGCUACAUGGAUGCUAGAAGUGAGCUCUGUACCUGCUGAAGUUAGGCUCGGAAUGGACUUUGCCGAACACUAUAAAUCAUCAUCCUUGUAUCGGAGAAACAAGGCAUUAGUAAAUGAGUUAAGCACACCACCCCCGGGAGUGAAAGACUCUAUUUCACCACUCAGUACUCGCAAUCAACAUGGGG